CCGCUCCGCAGCUGUUGCGAAGCCGGCACCAGGCACCUCCAGAGCCAAGAUGGUGACCUGCGGCCUCCUGACAAGUAGCAACAAGCCAGUGCCGCUGCGCCGUGUUGCGGUGGACGCGUGCAUCCAGAGCUUCGUGGCCGAUGUGAGCUCUGAGCUGCUGUACAAGAAUGAGGAAUCGGACCCUGUGGAGGCUAUCUUCACCUUCCCCAUGGAUGCCAACUCGGCUGUCUAUGCCUUCCAGGCCCGCAUCCAAGACACCAUCAUCAAGGCCCAGAUCCAAGACAAGA